rnacentral:lncRNA from 1 species
CGGGUUAUAAGGGAAUUAGGUCACUUAUAGUUCAAAUGUUAAAUGGUGAGAGAACGAGUUAGAGAUCGAGUGAGGUUUCAUCAAGUUUUUGGUUGACGACUUCUCCUUUUACAUUUAUAUGAAUAACAAAAAUAAAAUUGAAGAUACAAAUGAAAGAUUCUAUCUAUUCAGCUAUUCUGGAAUCUUGACUUGAAUCUUCAUGACUUAUCAAAUUGUGAGAUAGUCGUUAUUCUUAAUUGAACUUGGACCAUAAAAAGCCCCUCGUCGUUGGCUCUUGAUAUUAGAGGGGAACUUGACAAUUGGUUUAUUCUUUAGAUUUUCUUCUGGCUUGGACUUAAAAAUCUUCACCCUAUUCUUCAGGUAGGCUCCUGAACUUGCAACUGAUAAUGUUCACCCUAUUCUUCAGGCGGGCUCCUGGACUUCCUUUUUUUUUCACUCAGUUCUUCAGGUGGGCUCCUGACUUGUUGCUUCUUCACCCUGUUCUUCAGGCGGGCUCCUGACUUGUUACAUCUUCACCCUGUUCUUCAGGUGGGCUCCUGAACUUAUAAUUUUUUAUUUUCAAAUAUGUUCCUGAACUCAAAAUAAAAGGUGAAACAGAAAAAUAACAUCCCAUUUUUCAGGAGGAUCCUGGACAUAAAAUAAAUUCCCAUUCUUCAGGAGGGUCCUGUGCAAAAAUAAAUUUCCAUUCUUCAGAAGGGUCUUGUCCCAUUCUUCAGGAGGGUCCUGAGCACAAAAUAAAUUUUCAUUCUUUAGGUGGGUCCUGUCCCAUUCUUCAGGAGGGUCCUGUCCCAUUCUUCAGGAGGGUCCUUAGCACAAAAUAAAUUCCCAUUCUUCAGGAGGGUCCUGAGCACAAAAUAAAUUCUCAUUCUUCAGGAAGGUCCUGUCCCAUUCUCUCAGGAGGGUCCUGAGCACAAAAUAAAUUUCCAUUCUUCAUGAGGGUCUUGUCCCAUUCUUCAGGAAGGUCCUGAGCACAAAAUAAAUUUCCAUUCUUCAGGAGGGUUCUGUCCCAUUCUUCAGGAGGGUCCUGAGCACAAAAUAAAUUCCCAUUUUUCAGGAGGGUCCUGAGCAUAAAAUAAAUUUCAGUAAAUGCGAACAAAAUUUUGCCUUAGUUUACACUAGAAAAUUUUAUGAGUGUCAUCAGGUCACAACUUAUGAAAAGUACAGUAAAGGGGGUGAAUCAAGGACUUUCUAAAGAAAUGCAUCUUUUCAGAGUAAAACUAAUGACUUAGAAAAUACAUCUCCUAACACAUGAAACUUAAAUUACCAAGACAAGAAAGUGUGUCUUCUAGGGAUUAAAUGAAAUGACUCGAACCAGAAAGUGUGUCUUCUAGGAGUGAUGGUUCAAGUUAGGAAGUGCUUCACCUAACAAAUGAAAACUGACUUAUGCAGAAUAGGAAGUGCGUCUCCUAAGGAUUGAAUGAAAUAACUCGACUAAAAAGUACGUCUUCUAGGAGUGAAAGUUCAAGUUUCGAAGUGCGUCACCUAACAAAUAAAAACUAACUUAUUCAGACUAGGAAGUGCGUCUCCUAAGAGUUGAAUGAAAUGACUCAACUAGAAAGUGUGUCUUCUAGGAGUGAAGGUUCAAGUUAGGAAGUGCGUCACCUAACAAAUAAAAACUGACUUAUUCAGAUUAGGAAGUGCGUCUCCUAAGAGUUGAAUGAAAUGACUCGACUAGAAAGUCCGUCUUCUAGAAGUGAAGGUUCAAGUUAGGAAAUGCGUCACCUAAUAAAUAAAAACUGAAAUACCCAGACAAGGAAGUGUGUCUCCUAGGGGUAAAUGUGUAACACCCCAAUUCACUGAACCGAAAUGCUACACGAUGCUCAUGACCCCGAGGGACCACAAGCUAACCCAUGACUGAUAUAUGUACCUAUAUACUGCAAAUUAUUAUAUAAUAAUGCGGAAUACAUAGAACUAUAAGGCCAUAAGGUUUAACUGAAUACAAUCAUGUGGGUGAAAAUACCCAAAACAACUCAAUCUGAACGUAAAUCUGAACAUAAAUCUAAGCCUCUAAACUAUCUGAAUAAGGAGUUAAAGGAACAUGUCUCCAACUAACUCCAUAAAACUGAACUGAAGAAAUAAAUAAAUAAAUCAAAUCAUAUUGUCCUCAAAUCAAUGAGGACUCACUGUGUCUCUGCGAUUGGAAUGCUACCACUACUGCUGGGCUGGAGCUCGUGUCUCGGAACCUAUGGUGUAACAUGAAAAGAAAGCACCAUAGCGCAAAUGCUUCGGUACAACUGGAGUACUAAGUAUACGAGGAAGGUAGUCUAAACAUAAAGGGUUUCAUGCAUGAACAACACUGACUGAGUAAUAUGAACGUGGGAGUGCAAACACACAUAUAUAGAAACUAGGACCGUGAAUACGUGAUAGCAUGACCUGUAAGCUAAUACAUGGUUUAUUGAUAACUAUCAUGACUAAUACUAAAAUUGAUAACAUGGACGACUGUAUAUGACAGUCCUGUAUAUACUGAAAUCUGAAGAACGCCCUGAGUUUUUUUACUGAGAUUGAUACUGAAACUGUGGGAAGUAGUGUUUAACCGACAUGCCCCAUGUAUACCGUUAUGGCUAAGCUGGGGUCCAAUCUCUGCCCCGACUGGAGGGGUUUCAAUACCGUGCCACGGGUAAGGACAGCCUGUAAGUGACCCUUAUCUGGCGGGUGCUCAAUGAGAACGGUGGAAACUCUAAACUGAUGGGUUAAGCCACCUCAUCAACCCUAACCUGACGGGUUAAGAUGUGUCAACCUACACUGGCUACGUAGUUCUGGAACACAAGGAUGACUACUAAGAAUCACACUCUGAACUGGCAGGUGAGUUUCCAUCCUUGGGUUCAGUCGAUGCUAACCUUUACUCCCAUCUGGAGGGACUAGACAUGAAUAACUGACUGUGCAUGACUUAAUCUUAUUGAAUUCCGUUGACUGGCAGAAUGUUACUGAUAUCUUACAACUGACUAAGAUCAUGAGGUUUUCCUGAGUCACAUGACUGACUGAAGUCUAUGGAAUCAUAGCUUGAGUUCGGAUACCGUGAAACAUGACAUGGAUCUAGGCACACAGCUAUAGUUUUCGAGUACAAGUACCCCCAGGACUCGAUGGAAGGAAACUGACACACAUGACUGACUUGAUCAUAAGAGUAGAGUCCAUAAUUUAUAAUAUCAUAAGUAGGGAUCUCANNNNNNNNNNNNNNNNNNNNNNNNNNNNNNNNNNNNNNNNNNNNNNNNNNNNNNNNNNNNNNNNNNNNNNNNNNNNNNNNNNNNNNNNNNNNNNNNNNNNNNNNNNNNNNNNNNNNNNNNNNNNNNNNNNNNNNNNNNNNNNNNNNNNNNNNNNNNNNNNNNNNNNNNNNNNNNNNNNNNNNNNNNNNNNAGUUUCUUAGGCAUUUUAUCAAACACCUUACAUGCACAUCUUAAGCAUAGGUGAAAUCAUCAAAUUAUACAUCAUGAACAACCAAAUUUAUAUGUUUCCAACUCAUAUGAUAUCGUGAAAUUCAAAGAAACAUAUAAAGAUUCCAUCUUGGGAAUCACCCAAUGUCAACAACAUGAUCAUCAAUACCCAACAAUAUAGAAAUCAUACUUUAUAAUUAAAAAGAGGGUUUUUGAGCUUUAUGGAUGAAAGGGAUCCAUAAAUCAACUCACGUAUACCUUAGAAGGAAGAUUCUUGAUGAUUGACGGAGGAAUUUUCUUAAAAUCGUAUCUUCAAGUUUAGUUACGCAACCCUAAUUGUUUUUCUCUUUUAGUGCUCUUGGAUGAUGAGCUUUGAGAUGAUAAUAGGGUUUUAAUAUGAUUAGAAGCUAUAUAUUUCGUAGGGUUAAGUUUAGGGACGUGUAAGGAAUGUUUAAAGACUUAAUUGCCUUUAAAAUAACUCAAAACUGAGUGUUUUUGACACCUGGAAUUGACUUAGGCGGUGCCCAAGUGAUCGCCUAUGCUUGGGUUGGGCGGCGCCUAACCAAUCGUCUAUGCUUACUGUCUCUCAUGAAAAAGGGCAUAACUUUUCGCUCGGGUAUUGGAUUAAGGCGAAAUUGGUAUCGCUGGAAAGCUAAUUCGAUUCUCUACAAUUUAGUGGGUCUAAAUCAUCUAAAAUACCACAUUAACAUUGAGUUAUACUUGUUAAAAUAUGACCCUUGCAAAAGCAAAUACUAAAACUUGAUGGAUUCAAAAACUCUUAGCUUGUAUUACCUUAAGUGACUCAUAUAAAAAUGCUUAAUGCAUCAUAAGCUAUACUAUCACUAGGAUAUUCAUUGUAAGUCAUGUACUCAAGUAUGAAUGACAAGAUAGUAGAUUUCAUACGUAGGAAUACUUAUUCACUUCCUAGCUUAGAAACAUGCGGGGUAUUACAAAAUGAUGAUGAGUUUUUACCAUGAUUGUGAUUACUAAACAUGUGUAGAAAUAUUGCCUCUUGCAUUUGCAAAAUGAGGAAUUGCAUCUUUUGAUAUUUAGUCUUUGAAUCCCUUUAAUUGAAGGUAACAUGUUUUUGUUUCAUAUAAGAAAACUUUUUAAUUUAAAAACUCGAUGGUUGAUUUGUGGCAUUUGGCCAGGAAAUCUCUUGCACUUGUCAUACGCAGCUCCAUUGCAAAUUAUUGAUAGGUAUUGUUGACUUGCUGUAGUAUUGACCCCAAAUUCUGACUACUAAAACCUUUUGAUUCAAAUCAUAUUUCUGGUGCAUGAUGCCUCGGGAUUCAGCUUCAAAUACACCUUUUAUACUUCUAUGAGUCCAAAAACUGUCAGAUGACAAGCAUUCUUGAGUACUUUACUUUAUUUUGAAACAUGUUAUAUUUGUGUGUUGGUCUUUUGUCUUGCUUUACACAACUAAAGGAGUUGGUAGCAAUUUUUGAAGUCCUUCCUCACUUAUCUUGACAAAAUUUUGACUCAAAAAUACAUGAAAGGUGACGAUAGUGAUUUUUUUUUACCACAAAGACACAAAAAUCAAAAAUCAAAAUAGAAAUGAAAUAAAAAUAAAAAUAACAAAAAGAAUAGAAAAGGACAAUAGACAUCUUUUAUUUAAAAAAAUGUCAAAAUAAAAAUUUUAUCUGGGUGUGGCAGCUGAUUUUAGUAAUUAUGACGUGCAUUUUGAAUUAAACAACUUGAUCUAUCCAAACUAAUCACUGUCAUUUUUUCCCCACUCAUUGAAUUUAAAAGGGAGCCAUUCUUGAACUUGUUCCCUCUGGAUUAUAAUCCUCUUUAGGCUAGUGACACCUCGAUGGGUUUUCGCCAACAAGCUGCUCCUAUUUUUUUAUUUUUCAACUCAUUAUCGUCUUAUGGUGUCCAUGAAGACAUUUACCAAUCAGACUCUCAUUUUAUUGAUCUCACAACUCACGGUAGCCUUAUGAUGCCCAAAAGAGUUUUCAUCAAUAAGACUCUCAUUUUUAUUUUAUUUUUAAAAUAACACCCAAAAUAUGAAAUAUCAUGCACCCAUAACAUGUUUAGCCUUGACAUUCUCAAAGAUUGAUCUGAAGGUCUUUCUUUGGUUGUAACUUGUCUUUUGGAAUGAGAUAAAAUGAAAGGUUGGCAUGUGGCUCAAAAUUUACACAACAUUGGGUAAAAUAUACAACUUUUAGAAUUGACUCUUUUAAGGAAAUAAACUUUUGCCCUAAUUUUAUUUUAUUCUGGAUAACUUGAAUUUUCCUUUGGUUGGACCGAACCCCAAAAUAGGGCUGCCUACGUAUCUUGUCAUAGCAAGAAUCAGGUCAAACGUAGUUCAGGACAUUUCUUUUUGAUUGAAUUUGGAAUUUUGAUUGAUUUUUUCUCUUCUUUUUUUUUCAACUUUUUUUUUACUCUAUUUUUUGUGAUACUUUUUUUUUCGAAUUUUUCAAAUUCUAUUUUGAUUCCAAAAGAGGGGUACGAAAGAAAAUAACACUAAAGCUCAAAAGGGGUAACAAAGGAUGACACAACAUUUGGGUAGUAGAAUGAAAUGCCUUCGUCGUAUCAAUCCUUAAAAACACAAGUACAUAACAUGUAAUCUGAGAGUAGAACAUGAAGAUCAUACGCAUCUUUUUCAACAUUGAUCUUGACUAAGCUAUGCACUUGUGUCACUUCUUUUAAGCUUGUGAAAUAUACAUGUCCACUUAUAUUGUACUUUUUUUCUCGAUGAGUGACUCAUGCCCUUUUGCAGCUAACUUCCUUUUGUUUUUCCUUAUAGUGGAUACUAUAUAUCCUCCGAUCGACCCCAUUCAAAAUUCUCGAAUUGAAUCUUCUAAUCGAUGAUCAAGUUAUUUCCUGAUUCAUAAAGUGAUUGCCUCAAUACAUUCAAAAGAGGUUGUAAUAUCACCCCAAAUACCUGAACACUUUACUUAUUUUCUUAUAUGUUUUUUCUUUCAACUCCAUCUUCUUGUCAAAUGUUUCAGGAUUAGAUUAGACUUAAAGAUUAGUCUGUGAAUUCAACAUGCAUAUCACAUCUCUAGAAUCACCAUAGAAAGAACUCUCUAAAGAGAAAAAAACAAGACAACAAAACAAUAUAUAAUGAAAAAAUAAAAUAAAAAUAGAAGGACACACAUUUGUUGACAAAAAAUAGAAGAAUUUGAAUGAAAAUUAUAAUAAAAUAAGAUAAGAUAUAUCUCAAAUUUCAACCCUAAAAUAAUUCGGGUAGUAGAAAUAAAACAAAAAAGACUACCAAAAAUCCUUCCUCGUGGGGAGUAGAUUGACUUCUAAAUUGCCGAACUUAAUAUUUUAGCCAUUGAAUUGCACGUUGGCCUUAAUGGAGUCUCCACAAUCAUUGCUACAUCAUCUUUUUUUUUUUGAACUCGAUCAUUUUGAAUUUAUCACCUCAAACUCUCUCCAAAGUAAGCCAUCAAACAAUUUCUCUUUUCCCCUACUCCUCUUUAUUGAUUACAAAAUUUUUUUAUAUGAGUCAAAGGAUCACCAUGACCCUCGUACAUGUUCAACUUUGGUGUUAUGGAGUUUAGAGGCAAGUGAGCAUUGAAACAUGUAAAAAUCCUUGUGAGAAUUCUCUUUAUCUCUCUUAUUUUUUGUAUAUUUCUCAUAGUUUACUCCAAAUUUCUCACUUUUUAGGCCAUUUCUUAUUAUUCCUCAUUUCUAACAAUCUACACCGACUCAUCUCAGAUCUUAUAUCAUUUUUUAUAGGUCAUCUUACCCAUUUUUUUGACAUUAUGUUGUAUGGGUGAGAUGCCAACUUAUCCACAAACCAACCACUAAAUAUUAUUUUGAUUUUCGAGAAAACUAAUACUUCAGAGUUAAAAAAAAAAAAUUCUUUCUUUUUAAGAUCACCGAAUCCAUGGAGGACUGCCUACGUAUCUCAUUGAGAUGAGAAUCAGGUGUGCGUAGUUCUUGAAAAUUAUGUCGUACAAAAUUUAGCUUCAAGACCCCUAAAGGUUCAGGGCUAUUAAGAUUUAUAUAUAUUAUUUAUUUUGUAAAAACUGAGCCUCAUGAUCCCUAAAGAUUCAGGGCUGUUAAGAUUUAUAUAUUUUUAUUUUGUAAAACUUAGCCUCAUGAUCCCUGAAGAUUCUGGGCUAUAUAUAUAUAUAUAUAUAAAAUUGAACUUGAGAAUGAGAAAAUAAUUAUGAAAGUAAUCGUAUUUGCAAAAUAUUCCUCAAUAAAUCUAUGAAUAAUUUUUCAAAAGAUAAAGUCGUACCCCAAAAAAGGGCUUCCUACAUAUCUCAAUAAAGAGUGAGAAUCAGACCCUCGUAGUUCAUAAAGACUGUAAAACUAUGUUACUGAAAAAUUUCUCUUUUAAAAAUAAAAUUUUUCUUUAAAAAAUGAUUCACUAAAUGUGACGAUAAUUUAAUCUCUUGCAUUUCAAUGUUGCCUAAAAGUAGGUCAACACACAAAUAGCCUUCCAAACAAAUGUCAAAGAGCACGCAGAAUGCACAUGUUAGUCUUUAUAAAGUAGGUUACCUGUCCUAGACAGACUCGACUCCUGUGCCGAGUCCCGCUAAGUCAAAUACAUAUGAUGCAAAUAAAGCGGCACCUAAUAGGGAUAACUAGAUUCUGAGUUUUCAGUUCUUCUAAGUUUAAACCUAAUAGGGAUAGAUGUCUAGAAUGGCUUACUCGAGUGGACACUCGAGCUGGGGAGGGAUAACUUGGUCAGUAGCAGGGCAACACCGUCUUCGUUGUUGAUUCGAACCCCACCUAACAUGUGUGACUAUAUCCUUCACCAGGUGCCUUGACACUCCGGCUAUCUCAAAAAGAAAGUAGGAUGCAUGUGCUGCAUUCCUUCUAUCCUAUUUCAGAGACUCAGAGGGGGUGCACAAGAGAAGACAGUAUAUAAUAUAGUUCAAUCAAUAUCAAAGCGGUAAAUGAGCAACAAGUAGCAAAUAAGGCCAACAAACACAAUAUCAACAAUAAUGAAGCAAGUAUAAGUCAAUAUAAAAAGCUCAAAUUCUAGUUUAAUCCCCAACAGAGUCGCCAGAGAUGUCACACCCUUUUUUCUCGCUCGAAGGUGUCGAGUCGAAGGGUUUUUUCAAUUAAAGUGACGGUUUUGAAUAAGGAUUAUUUUGUUUAUAGAGUCGCCACUUGAAAUUGAGUUAUGGUGUUUCAAGUCACCUUUUGGAAUCCCUAAUCAAAAGGAAAUGACUCUUUUAUUUAGUCUGCGAAAACAGAAAACCGGGUAAGGAAUUCUAUUGAUCGAAGGGAAGGUAUUAGGCACCCCUCGAGUCCCGUGGUUCUAGCACGGUCACUUUUAUUGACUCAUACUUAACUAAACUAUUUUGAUAACUUAUGUUUAUAGGCCUUAAUUCGCUCAUUUUUAAUAUACCUAUAAUAUCUUUAUAUCUCUUAUAUUAAAUCGGUGAAAAAUUAAAUUUAAAAAUAUUUAUCAAAGUGCAUUAUUGCAUCCUUGAAUUAUUUGAAAAUAUCUCAGAAAGAUACGUGCGUCACAUUCUUAGUUGAGACGAAAAUUUUAAAUGUGUCAAAAAUUCACCUAGCGUUAAAGGCAUUUGCUUCAUCUUUCGUAAACUCGAAAUAAUUUUACAUUAUCCAUUUUUAUUCUUUUUCUCUCUUUAUUUUGCAACAUAUUUUGAAUUUAAUAAUAAUAAUAAUAAUAAUAAUAAUAAUAAUAAUAAUAAUAAUAAUAAUAAUAAUAAUAAUAAUAAUAAUAAUAAUAAUAAUAAUAAUAAUAAUAAUAAUAAUAAUAAUAAUAAUAAUAAUAAUAAUAAUAAUAAUAAUAAUAAUAAUAAUAAUAAUAAUAAUAAUAAUUACCUAACAAAUGUAAAACUGUUAUCCACUUUUUUUUAAAAAUUUUCUUUAUAUUUUUUUUUUCUUCACGUUUUCUCUAAGUUGUUUCUAACUUUGUAUGUGCAUGGAAACUUUUAGUGUGCAUGUACCUAUCCAUUUUAAUCCCUUUUUAAUUAUACUAUAAAAUUUUCAUAAUCCAUUAAAAAAUAAAAAAUAAACAAUGACAAAAUAAUAUAUUGGCAUUUUUUUUUUAAAAAAACGAAAAACGUUAUAUUUUUUAUCAUCCAAGAACUUUAAUAUUUAUAAUUAACAAAAUGAAUCACGAAGAACAGUAAGCAAACAAGUCACAACAUAAUAAUUGACAAUCACUUAUAAACCAACUAAGAUUACAUUUUAUCUUUGAUUCAAUACAAUAAAUAAAUUACAAAUAAAAACAUAAAACAAUAAAAAAAAAGAACUUUACAUGAAUAUUAAACUUUACAUCUUAAAUUACGGAAUUCUUAAAAUAACUUUAAUCAUUAUUUGAUUCAUAAGAAAACAUACAAAAUAAAUAGAAAAGAUCUCAAGUAGAACCUGUGAGAUAAGUUAACUUAAGAUGGAAAUGAAAAUGUCGUCACCAAAAAAUUCGAACGGAGACCCAAACUCAAAGAACUGCCCAUUUCUUUUUCCUUUUUCUGUUUUUCUCACUAUUUCUUGUUUUCGGGCCUUUUUUUUUUAAGUGUUUUUCUUUUCCAUUUUUUUUUGGUCUUGGUUUUGGUUUUGAUUUAUCUCAAGUUUUUUGUUUUUUUUUUCCGUGAGAUUUUUUUUUCCCUUUUGUUCCUUGUUUCUAACUCUUCUUUUUUUGUUUUUCCUCUCACAAUUUUCUUGUUUUUCUUUUUGUUUUCUUUCUCUCAAGUUGUUGCUUCUAUCUGUGUCUUGC